UACAGAGGUCUCAAGCGUUGUUCGGAUUCAUUGGGCGUAAAGGGUGCGUAGGCGGCGCGGUAAGUCGGGUGUGAAAUCUCGGGGCUUAACUCCGAAACUGCAUUCGAUACUGCCGUGCUUGAGGACUGGAGAGGAGACUGGAAUUUACGGUGUAGCGGUGAAAUGCGUAGAUAUUGUAAGGAAGACCAGUGGCGAAGGCGGGUCUCUGGACAGUUCCUGACGCUGAGGCACGAAGGUCAGGGGAGCAAACGGG
rnacentral:rRNA from 1 species